rfam:Triticum urartu cultivar G1812 contig1323575, whole genome shotgun sequence.
GCAGCUAUAGUUCAAUUGGUAGAAUUAUCGCCUUCCAAGCGAAGUAUACUGAUUCGAGUUCAGUUGGCUGCA